AAUACGAAAGGGGCUAGCGUUGCUCGGAAUCACUGGGUGUAAAGGGCGCGUAGGCGGCGUUUUAAGUCGGGGGUGAAAGCCUGUGGCUCAACCACAGAAUGGCCUUCGAUACUGGGACGCUUGAGUAUGGUAGAGGUUGGUGGAACUGCGAGUGUAGAGGUGAAAUUCGUAGAUAUUCGCAAGAACACCGGUGGCGAAGGCGGCCAACUGGACCAUUACUGACGCUGGGGCGCGAAAGCGUGGGGAGCAAACAGGAUUAGAUACCCUGGUAGUCAAGGGCG
rnacentral:rRNA from 1 species